AUUGAACGCUGGCGGCAGGCCUAACACAUGCAAGUCGAACGGUAUCAGGAAACAGCUUGCUGUUUCGCUGACGAGUGGCGGACGGGUGAGUAAUGUCUGGGAAACUGCCUGAUGGAGGGGGAUAACUACUGGAAACGGUAGCUAAUACCGCAUAACGUCGCAAGACCAAAGAGGGGGACCUUCGGGCCUCUUGCCAUCGGAUGUGCCCAGAUGGGAUUAGCUAGUAGGUGGGGUAACGGCUCACCUAGGCGACGAUCCCUAGCUGGUCUGAGAGGAUGACCAGCCACACUGGAACUGAGACACGGUCCAGACUCCUACGGGAGGCAGCAGUGGGGAAUAUUGCACAAUGGGCGCAAGCCUGAUGCAGCCAUGCCGCGUGUAUGAAGAAGGCCUUCGGGUUGUAUAGUACUUUCAGCGGGGAGGAAGGGAGUAAAGUUAAUACCUUUGCUCAUUGACGUUACCCGCAGAAGAAGCACCGGCUAACUCCGUGCCAGCCGCCGCCGUAA
rnacentral:rRNA from 1 species